rnacentral:rRNA from 1 species
GAGACCGGAGAGGACGUAGCGCGGGUACGAGGAGAUGGAUGCCCGCGCCGAGACGGGGCGUUGGUAGCGGCAGCUGCUUCGGGCUGUUGGUAAUCGGACCCGUGGGAGGGAGGGCGGGCGAACGAGGCUGCGCCUAGGCCUGUUGGGGCGUUGGGAGGGGAGGCCACUCGGAGGAGAAGAGGAAGAGAUGGAGGCCGCAGGGUGGGGAAGGGGGUGGAGGGGCUGGAAGUGACCAACGGAUCUGUCCUGACGGGAACGGUAACCCGCGCUGGUCACGGGCAUGAAGCGGGUGCUGGUUCGGUGACGCGAGUAGAAGUCAAGGCGCAGUGGGUCAACGUAUUGUCAUCGCCUUUCCUACGUCCGAAGGUGUGCUACGGACUUUUUACGGUGAAAGGUUUAGAGCAGAGGCAGGCUCGUGCUUCGGCGACGACGGGCAGUCACGAACCACGUGGUCCUCUUCAAGCAGUGGAGUGAACGCUCGUCAGGUAGAUAGCGGAGGACACGUUCGUGAGGUAGUGGAGUGUGUCACAGGCAAGCUGUCUCAAACAGGAAAACUUCUUCGCCUUUUACCUCAAACUUCGCCGGCGCCCGCCCACCACCACACCAACGUCUUCUUCUUUGCGACCACGCUUGAGCAGGUAGGCCGCGAUCAUAUGGUCAUACUAAACCUCCGCUUCUUAAAAAACACAGAGAAUGGUACUUAGACACAUCGAUACCUUUGAACCGAAGGACAUUUUAAAAUUCUAUAUAGCGAUCGUGAAACAAGGGGUUCACACAAACGUAAUUACGCACUCUCCUUUGAUAAGACCCGGAUACGAAACGUGACGAUGCAUGAGG